GUUUGACGGUAUGCCGUAUAGACAUCGUCGAUACGUCGCCCUACGAAUAACCGUGCGACGCAAAACCCCGCGAAUACGUAAUUACAGGCAACGUUACCAGCCGUAACGUAAAUAACCUUGCGAUAUUUUUUCCGACCAAAAGUCACCGAUGUCCGUUAUGCGAUUGUCACCCAAAAUAACGUUGUGCCCGCGAGUUGCCAUGUACGUCUCGUUAAUAUUAAAACGCACGCAUGCAUGUUGCAGCACCGGUCCUUAUACCUUGUAGUAUUUCGGACCUACGGUUCGGUUAACCAAAAAUAACCACAGAUUUGUUUUUUUUUUAUUUUCUUUUCGUCAAUAUCGGAGUUUUCAGGUUACCAAGUAAUGAUAUUUUGUUUUGUUUUUAUAUGGAUUAUAGUCUUUUGUGCAUAAAAUUAAUAAAUCGAAUAAAAUAAUUUUUUUUGCGGAUACAUCAAUAUUGAUUUAAUAAUUUAUUCUCUUUCUACAUCAGAAUAUCUCAAUAAUUAUGACAAUGAACAAUACUGAAACAUGCAUAGAUCAUUUUAUAUUUACGAAAAUUAUUGAUACUGACAAUGCAUAUUGCAAUAUAUUAUAUUAUUAAGCUGGAUAUAACUAAUCGUU